rnacentral:rRNA from 1 species
CAGCAGCCGCGGUAAUACGUAGGUGGCAAGCGUUGUCCGGAAUUAUUGGGCGUAAAGGGCUCGCAGGCGGCUUCUUAAGUCUGAUGUGAAAGCCCCCGGCUCAACCGGGGAGGGUCAUUGGAAACUGUGAAACUUGAGUGCAGAAGAGGAGAGUGGAAUUCCACGUGUAGCGGUGAAAUGCGUAGAGAUGUGGAGGAACACCAGUGGCGAAGGCGACUCUCUGGUCUGUAACCGACGCUGAGGAGCGAAAGCGUUGGGAGCGAACAGGAUUAGAUACCCGCGUAGUCCCUGUCUCUUAUAC